rnacentral:rRNA from 1 species
CGCGUAGGCGGUCGGGUAAGUCGGGUGUGAAAUUCCGGGGCUCAACCCCGUGAACUGCACUCGAUACUGCUCGACUAGAGAGAGGUAGGGGCGAGUGGAAUUCCCGGUGUAGCGGUGGAAUGCGUAGAUAUCGGGAAGAACACCGGUGGCGAAGGCGGCUCGCUGGGCUUCUUCUGACGCUGAAGCGCGAAAGCGUGGGGAGCAAACA